rnacentral:rRNA from 1 species
UACGGGGGGGAGCAAGCGUUGUUCGGAUUUACUGGGCGUAAAGGGCGCGUAGGCGGCCACCGCAAGUCGGUUGUGAAAUCUCUGGGCUUAACCCAGAAAGGUCAACCGAUACUGCGGGGCUAGAGUGCAGAAGGGGGCAACUGGAAUUCUCGGUGUAGCGGUGAAAUGCGUAGAUAUCGAGAGGAACACCUGCGGCGAAGGCGGGUUGCUGGGCUGACACUGACGCUGAAGCGCGAAAGCUAGGGGGAGCGAACGGGG